UUGAAAGGGGAAUAGGGUUUGUUUGCGCCGUUUCACAUUCUCAGACUAAACAUUCUCUAUUCGUAUCUCUCACUCAAAACAGUCGCCGGAAAUCGCUUCCGCCGUACCGGAGGCGGCGGAGCUUGAGGUUUCACCCAAUAAGACCUCGAUCCCCGCUCUCCUUCUCACUCUGAUCAACAAUCCACCCUUAAAUUUGUCCGAUUCUUUCUCCAUUCCUCUAAAUCUAAGCAAAUAGAAAAUCCUAGGUUUAACUAAAAACUUAAUUGAAUGUUAAUGGUGAGGAAUCCGAGAUCGAGACCAUAGGGUUAUGAAUAGGAAUGCUCGUUCUGUAUCGUGGCAUAAAGAAAAGUAGCAAAAAGUGGCAUAAAGAUGAAGUUCGAAUGGUUUACCUGGUAUGAAGAAUGCGCUUGAGAAAAAGAGAAUACCAGAGAGGCGGCUCCAGUUACUUGGCGAAAUAAACACGAUCUUCAGUCCCAAUGAUUGAUUGCUUGAACCGUAUUUGAAUAGCCUUCUGAUUGUGGAAUUUUGGCUCUGAAUAUGAUAUGUAUUGCUUGGGUUUUGAAUCCAAUGGGAUGCUGAAUGAAGGGAUAUAUGUAUGGCUGUGUAUGUUCUUGGAACUGUUUUCCUUGGCUUUUUCUUUUGGAAUGAGUGUGAGCUGCGGGUCCUUUUAAUUUGCAGCAAAGUCGUGAUUUGAAUUGUGCAGGUUGUUCAGGAAUGCAUGAGUGACAGUAACAUGGACCAUGGCUGAUGAUUGUAUGGUGUAGACCUUUGGUACAUGGACAUAUAUUGGGUGAAUGCUUAUGUAUGUGUGAUAUGGGGAUGGUGUCGAUUAGUGCAAUGUUAUUUAAUGCAGCUUUUCUUUUCUGUUUUGUCUAAUGGUGCAGGUUUAGCACAUAGCAACUUGUAUAACACAUUUAUUCAACACUUGGAUGACAAUGGUUAUAUGAUGCAUUUAAUUCAAUUGAUACAAGGAGGUCAAAAUGAAGAUGAAUGAAGAGGCUUUGAAGAGAAUAAGAUAUAAGCCUUAGGAUUAAUGUAAAAUAAUAAUGAAGUGAUAAAAAUAUUGUUUGGUUUGGUUUUCAAAUGCAUAUGAAAGUUUUGAAUAUGUAAUGGAUUCUUGAGUUUGAAUUCUUUGUACUGUUGCCCUUCUACAUCAUGAUAUAAA